CCUACGGGCGGCUGCAGUGGGGAAUAUUGGUCAAUGGGCGCAAGCCUGACCCAGCAACGCCGCGUGAAGGAAGAAGGCUUUCGGGUUGUACACUUCUUUUGUCAGGGACGAAGCAAGUGACGGUACCUGACGAAUAAGCCACGGCUAACUACGUGCCAGCAGCCGCCGUAAUACGUAGGUGGCAAGCGUUAUCCGGAGUUCCUGGGUGUAAAGGGCGUGUGGGCGUGGAAGUAAGUCGGAUGGGAAAACCACGGGCUCAAACUCUGGCCCGCAUUUGAAACUGUUUUUCUUGAGUGCUGGAGAGGGAAUCGGAAUUCCGUGUGUAGCGGUGAAAUGCGUAGAUAUACGGAGGAACACCAGUGGCGAAGGCGGAUUGCUGGACAGUAACUGACGCUGAGGCGCGAAAGCGUGGGGAGCAAACAGGAUUAGAUAUCCCUGUAGUC
rnacentral:rRNA from 1 species